rnacentral:rRNA from 1 species
UAACGUGGGCCCCUAAUCGGGGUUGCGGACAGUGUCUGGUGGGUAGUUUGACUGGGGCGGUCUCCUCCUAAAGAGUAACGGAGGAGCACGAAGGUUGGCUAAUCCUGGUCGGACAUCAGGAGGUUAGUGCAAUGGCAUAAGCCAGCUUGACUGCGAGCGUGACGGCGCGAGCAGGUGCGAAAGCAGGUCAUAGUGAUCCGGUGGUUCUGAAUGGAAGGGCCAUCGCUCAACGGAUAAAAGGUACUCCGGGGAUAACAGGCUGAUACCGCCCAAGAGUUCAUAUCGACGGCGGUGUUUGGCACCUCGAUGUCGGCUCAUCACAUCCUGGGGCUGAAGUAGGUCCCAAGGGUAUGGCUGUUCGCCAUUUAAAGUGGUACGCGAGCUGGGUUUAGAACGUCGUGAGACAGUUCGGUCCCUAUCUGCCGUGGGCGCUGGAGAACUGAGGGGGGCUGCUCCUAGUACGAGAGGACCGGAGUGGACGCAUCACUGGUGUUCGGGUUGUCAUGCCAAUGGCACUGCCCGGUAGCUAAAUGCGGAAGAGAUAAGUGCUGAAAGCAUCUAAGCACGAAACUUGCCCCGAGAUGAGUUCUCCCUGAGACUUAGAGUCUCCUGAAGGAACGUUGAAGACGACGACGUUGAUAGGCCGGGUGUGUAAGCGCAGCGAUGCGUUGAGCUAACCGGUACUAAUGAACCGUGAGGCUUAACCUU